rfam:Triticum aestivum genome assembly, contig: Triticum_aestivum_CS42_TGACv1_scaffold_514732_6BS
CAUGUACUCCCUCCGUCCCAAAAUUCUUGUCUUAGGAUUGUGUAAAACGGAUGUAUUUAGUUAAGUUUUAGUGUUAGAUACAUCCGUAUCUAGAAAAAUCUGAGACAAGAAUUUUGGGGCGGAGGGAGUAUAUA